AUUUCUAGAGAUAGAAGUUACUUCGGUACAUCGGUGACAGGUGGUGCAUGGUUGUCGUCAGCUCGUGUCGUGAGAUGUUCGGGUUAAGUCCCGCAACGAGCGCAACCCCUAUGUUAGUUGCCAUCAUUCAGUUGGGCACUCUAGCGAGACUGCCGGUAAUAAACCGGAGGAAGGUGGGGAUGACGUCAAAUCAUCAUGCCCCUUAUGACCUGGGCUACACACGUGCUACAAUGGUUGGUACAACGAGUUGCGAGUCGGUGACGGCGAGCUAAUCUCUUAAAGCCAAUCUCAGUUCGGAUUGUAGGCUGCAACUCGCCUACAUGGAGUCGGAAUCGCUAGUAAUCGCGGAUCAGCACGCCGCGGUGAAUACGUUCCCGGGCCUU
rnacentral:rRNA from 1 species